ACGAGCGAAAAUUUUCACGCUGCUGCCGCGAUAAGAAAAGAGACGUGGGCGGAGUUGGCGGCGCCGAUCGGCCGCCGACGACGUUCGGCGCCACUCGGCCCUGCACUCACCAGGUGUGUGCCCGACACUCGGGUCGUCGCCAGUCGGAAAAGGGCCAUUUUCGCCGAAAGUUAUCACAGGAGUCGGAUCCGCGCUGCUCGUCGCUCGCCAACCUACCCUCACAAAAGAACGAAACCGGAAAGAGGCGGCGCGUCACGUGACCCGCCAGCCAACCACGAGCCUGGGUUGGCGCUUCACAGAUGGCGUCGCGAUUCGCACACCGCACUUGCAGACUUCUUGCGGUAGCUUUUUUAUUGAGGCGUUAUCAGUUUUUUUUUAUCAAUAGAUUAUUUUGAUUGUCAAGGUCUGUCUUGGGAAACUAGCGCAGCAAUGGAUUAUCCGGAUUAAUGUCUUAGGCUGGCAGUAUUAAUUAAACUUUCAUUAAUGAUUAAUUUGAUUGUUAAAUUAUUAUAAUAACGCCUCGAACUAAAGUGGAAAAAAUACAUUUUUUUCUGUACGAAAAAAAAUUAAAAAAAUUUAUGAGUUCCGGCGCCCGGUGGAUGGAUCUCAAGGGGGUAGGGGAGUGAAGCCUUCUUCCUCCGCGCCGCUUGCUCCACUCUUCAUCCUCGUCAUCGCUACGGUGCAACCUCGCUUGUGGUUCGUCACGGCAAUAUCGUCUCUCUCUGGACCGGGCGCUAUGUGCAGGGCCCCUCUCAUGCUCUUCGUCUAGGCCCAUUGCCGAAACUUACCCUGCAAUCGUGGUACGUCCCCCAACCGACCAAGUGGACCGUAAGUCGAAAUUUUUUAUAUUAUAUAUGAAACAAUAAAAUCAAUUUUAUAAAAAAUUUCCUAAUUAAUUUGGUUACACAGCGCGCUGCGCCUUGAAAUUCUUUCCAGAAUUUCAAGUUUUGGCACUUUUUCUUCGAUUAAAAGGCUUCAAUUCUUUUAAAAAUAACUCUGCUCUGAAUUUUUGUAAGCAUGAUUAGCAUAUAAUUAUGUGACAUUUGAAAUUAUAAACGGCUGGUUAAUUGUGGCGCGAAAUCACUGGAACCGAGCACCGAAGAUUCACCCAGUUUGGAAGUUAAUCGCACUAUAAACAUUUUUGAUUCCCCUGAUGAUCCCAUCACCACGGCAGUUGAGGAGGCUGAUGAGACCGCGGCUGUUGGACGAACCACUGCAAAAAAAGAGGCGGAAGAAGAUGUGAAAUUCAAACCUGGUGCUGCGAUUGCUGAGUUGAGAGUUAAAACGCCAAGGCCUUCAGAGAGUGGAGAAAGCAGUACUGAUAUGAAGUCACCAUUUGGCUCUGGAAGCACGCUGGAGAGCAUAAAUAGCAGUGCUGCUAAUGCUGCAUCUCCUUACGCUGAUUUGCAAAGAUGCCAAUGACACAAGCAAAGGUGAAGCCAAAACUGAAACUCCACAAGGGUUGAGCUUGGCCUGACCAAGCAAAGCUCUGGGAUGACCCAUCCGGCAUGGCUCCGAUCAAUGAAAUUGCAUUGGUCCUCGUUGGGAGAAGGAUUUUUAUGGUUGCGGCAUGCGUCUCGUAGUACUGAAGAAAGUCUGCAAGACAGAGAAGCGAGUCUUCGAGGGAGUGUUUCGACUCGCUUACGGAGUGUUGCAUUUGAUGAGUUCGGCGACAAGGUCUAACAGCAAACAGUUGUGUGUCAUCGAUCCAGAUAUUAUGGAUUUGCUAUUUGAAUUUGCCAAUACAAUUGCGGCUGAACUGGGACUUCUGACUAAAUGGAACAAUUAUUGGAGCAGAGGGUCGAAAGAUAAUUAGCGAUCACUGCGCCUAUCUACGACGCAGUUAUGACAAAGAAUUGAAGCUUUCGCAUGAAACCUACCUUAAAUUG